rnacentral:rRNA from 1 species
CCAGACUCCUACGGGAGGCAGCAGUGGGGAAUAUUGCACAAUGGGGGGAAACCCUGAUGCAGCGACGCCGCGUGAGUGAAGAAGUAAUUCGUUAUGUAAAGCUCUAUCAGCAGGGAAGAAAAUGACGGUACCUGAGUAAGAAGCCCCGGCUAACUACGUGCCAGCAGCCGCGGUAAUACGUAGGGGGCAAGCGUUAUCCGGAUUUACUGGGUGUAAAGGGAGCGUAGACGGCAGUGCAAGUCUGGAGUGAAAGGCGGGGGCUCAACCCCCGGACUGCUCUGGAAACUGUACGGCUGGAGUGCAGGAGAGGUAAGUGGAAUUCCUAGUGUAGCGGUGAAAUGCGUAGAUAUUAGGAGGAACACCGGCGGCGAAGGCGGCCUGCUGGACCGUGACUGACGUUGAGGCUCGAGAGCGUGGGGAGCAAACAGGAUUAGAUACCCCUGUAGG